AUGUUCUCAGAUUUUUAUUUCAGCGUCGAUGAUAACGCACUGACCUCAUUCGCUGUCGACUCCGCCAUAUACAAUUUUCUUCCAUUUUUGUUUCACGCAUCUCCGCCGUUAUCGAUCGUUCCUCCGGUUGCAAGCCGUCAAUAUCACUGCACCGAUCAAAGAAACGAACAGUGGUCGCUGUUUGGAUUGAUUUCGGCUUGA